rnacentral:rRNA from 1 species
GAUGAACGCUGGCGGCGUGCCUAACACAUGCAAGUCGAGCGGUAUAUAUCUGAACAAAUCUUCGGAAGAGUGAGGGUAUAGAGAGCGGCGGACGGGUGAGUAACGCGUAGGCAACCUGCCCCAUACAGAGGGAUAGCCUCGGGAAACCGGGAUUAAGACCUCAUAACGCGAGGAAGUCACAUGGCUUUUUCGCCAAAGAUUUAUCGGUAUGGGAUGGGCCUGCGUCUGAUUAGCUAGUUGGUAAGGUAACGGCUUACCAAGGCAACGAUCAGUAGCCGACCUGAGAGGGUAAUCGGCCACAUUGGAACUGAGACACGGUCCAAACUCCUACGGGAGGCAG